AGCGAACGCUGGCGGCAUGCCUAACACAUGCAAGUCGCACGGGGGGGGCUUCGGCCUCCCAGUGGCGGACGGGUGAGGAACGCGUAGGGACCUGUCGAGGGGUGGGGGAUAACCGCGGGAAACUGCGGCUAAUACCGCAUGACGCCGCGGCGUGACAGCCGGGGCCAAAGGCGAAAGCCGCCCGCCGAGGGGCCUGCGUCCGAUUAGCUGGUUGGCGGGGUAGCGGCCCACCAAGGCGUCGAUCGGUAGCUGGUCUGAGAGGGUGAUCAGCCACACCGGGACUGAGACACGGCCCGGACUCCUACGGGAGGCAGCAGUGGGGAAUAUUGGACAAUGGGCGCAAGCCUGAUCCAGCAAUGCCGCGUGGGUGAAGAAGGUCUUCGGAUUGUAAAGCCCUUUCGGCGGGGACGAUGGUGACGGUACCCGCAGAAGAAGCCCCGGCUAACUUCGU
rnacentral:rRNA from 1 species